UGACCCUCCCCCGCAAGGGGGGAGGGAACAGAGAAGGGGAGGUACGCGAAGAGAGAUUCAACAUCAGCCUUUCAGAAACUCGCCCGCCUUGUAGAGCGCGCGGAACGGAAUGCCGGCCUCGGCGAAUGCUUCGGUCGCGCCUUCGUCGCGGUCGACCAUGGUGAACACCAGCACGACCUCGCCGCCGGAAUCGAAUCCUUCACCGCAUCCACCGCCUUGAUCGCCGAGCCGCCGGUGGUGGUGACGUCCUCG
rnacentral:misc_RNA from 1 species